rnacentral:misc_RNA from 1 species
GAAAUGCGAUACUUGGUGUGAAUUGCAGGAGUAGUGAAUCAUCAAACCUUUGAACGCAAGUUGCGCUCUCAGGAAAUCCUGAGAGCACGCUUGUUCGAGCGUCACCCACUUUCCUCAACCUCUCAACCCCUCGGGGCUGCAGAGCAAGGACACGGGCAACUCCACCGACCUGGCGGAGCUGCUUCAGUUCGAGCGAGGUGGUUUGUGCACAGUCUCUCUCCACGCAGAAGUCGGAAAGCCUUGUGCUCAUGACCCUGCAGCCGAGCAGACUCCGUGUCGAAGAACCUCGUGGGUUCGAUCGCUUUAAUGCGAUCAUUUUCAACCCGUGACCUCGAAUCAAGCGGAGCCACCCGCUGAAUUUAA